rnacentral:rRNA from 1 species
AACGAACGCUGGCGGCAUGCCUAACACAUGCAAGUCGAACGGACCCUUCGGGGUUAGUGGCGCACGGGUGCGUAACGCGUGGGAAUCUGCCCUGGGGUACGGAAUAACGCUUCGAAAGGAGUGCUAAUACCGUAUGAAGUCUUCGGACCAAAGAUUUAUCGCCCUGGGAUGAGCCAGCGUUGGAUUAGCUAGUUGGUGGGGUAAAGGCUAACCAAGGCGACGAUCCAUAGCUGGUCUGAGAGGAUGAUAAGCCACACUGGGACUGAGACACGGCCCAGACUCCUACGGGAGGCAGCAGUGGGGAAUAUUGGACAAUGGGCGCAAGCCUGAUCCAGCAAUGCCGCGUGAGUGAUGAAGGCCUUAGGGUUGUAAAGCUCUUUUACCCGGGAAGAUAAUGACUGUACCGGGAGAAUAAGCCCCGGCUAACUCCGUGCCAGCAGCCGCAGUAAAAC